rnacentral:rRNA from 1 species
UACAGAGGGGGCAAGCGUUGUCCGGAGUUACUGGGCGUAAAGGGUCCGCAGGCGGCUUGGCAAGUGUUGUGUGAAAGCCCCGUGCUUAACACGGGGAGGCCACAGCAGACUGCCUGGCUCGAGCCAUGCAGAGGGUGGUGGAAUUGCCGGUGUAGUGGUGAAAUGCGUAGAGAUCGGCAGGAACACCCAGGGCGAAAGCAGCCACCUGGGCAUGCGCUGACGCUGAGGGACGAAAGCGUGGGGAGCGAACCGG